rnacentral:rRNA from 1 species
UACGUAGGGUGCGAGCGUUAAUCGGAAUUACUGGGCGUAAAGGGUGCGCAGGCGGUUCUGCAAGUCAGGCGUGAAAUCCCCGGGCUUAACCUGGGAAUGGCGCUUGAAACUACGGGACUGGAGUAUGGCAGAGGGAGGUGGAAUUCCACGUGUAGCGGUGAAAUGCGUAGAGAUGUGGAGGAACACCGAUGACGAAGGCAGCCUCCUGGGCCAAUACUGACGCUCAUGCACGAAAGCGUGGGGAGCAAACAGG